GUUGAUGUGUGUGGAGAGGUUGUCAGCAUAUUGUUGGAAGAUGGAGUUUGCUAAAACAUUCAUAGCUCAAGCAAUCCAGGUUGAUGUCAAUC